rnacentral:rRNA from 1 species
ACUAGCAGCUGUACCACCUUCAGUUAUGUAAUCCAUCUGAAACUAAGCAGGUUUAGGCCUGGCCAGUAGUUGGAUGGGAGACCAACUAGGAUUACUGGGCUCCUGCUGGGA